UCCUACGGGACGCAGCAGUGGGGAAUAUUGGACAAUGGGGGGAACCCUGAUCCAGCGACGCCGCGUGAGUGAAGAAGUAUUUCGGUAUGUAAAGCUCUAUCAGCAGGGAAGAAAGAAAUGACGGUACCUGGCUAAGAAGCCCCGGCUAACUACGUGCCAGCAGCCGCGGUAAUACGGAGGAUGCGAGCGUUAUCCGGAUUUAUUGGGUUUAAAGGGUGCGCAGGCGGCACGGCAAGCCGGCGGUCAAAUCGCGGGGCUCAACCCCGCCCAGCCGUCGGAACUGCCGGGCUAGAGUGGGCGAGAAG
rnacentral:rRNA from 1 species